UUGAACGCUGGCGGAAUGCCUUACACAUGCAAGUCGAACGGCAGCACGGGAGCAAUCCUGGUGGCGAGUGGCGAACGGGUGAGUAAUAUAUCGGAACGUGCCCAGUCGUGGGGGAUAACGUAGCGAAAGCUACGCUAAUACCGCAUACGAUCUACGGAUGAAAGCGGGGGAUCGCAAGACCUCGCGCGAUUGGAGCGGCCGAUAUCAGAUUAGGUAGUUGGUGAGGUAAAGGCUCACCAAGCCGACGAUCUGUAGCUGGUCUGAGAGGACGACCAGCCACACUGGGACUGAGACACGGCCCAGACUCCUACGGGAGGCAGCAGUGGGGAAUUUUGGACAAUGGGCGCAAGCCUGAUCCAGCAAUGCCGCGUGCAGGAUGAAGGCCUUCGGGUUGUAAACUGCUUUUGUACGGAACGAAACGGUGAGCUCUAAUACAGUUUGCUAAUAACGGUACCGUAAGAAUAAGCACCGGCUAACUACGUG
rnacentral:rRNA from 1 species